UGGUUUGAUUCUGGCUCAGGAUGAACGCUGGCGGCAUGCCUAAUACAUGCAAGUCGAACGGAGUGAAGCCUUCGGGUUUCAUUCAGUGGCGAACGGGUGAGUAAUACGCAGGGAACCUGGCCAUGGCAGGGGGAUACACUCUGGAAACGGAGCAUAAGACCCCAUAGGCAGUAAGGCGGCAUCGCCUUACUGUUAAAGAAAGCUGAAAGGCUUUGGCGAUGGAUGGACCUGCGGUGCAUUAGCUUGUUGGUGAGGCAACGGCUUACCAAGGCGAUGAUGCAUAGCCGGCCUGAGAGGGCGGACGGCCACACUGGGACUGAGACACGGCCCAGACUCCUGCGGGAGGCAGCAGUAGGGAAUUUUCGUCAAUGGGCGCAAGCCUGAACGAGCAAUGCCGCGUGAGUGAGGAAGGUCUUCGGACUGUAAAGCUCUGUUGCCGGGGAAAAAGGGGAAAUGCAGGAAAUGGCAUUUCAUGGAUGGUACCCGGCCAGAAAGCCACGGCUAACUACGUGCCAGCAGCCGCGGUAAUACGUAGGUGGCGAGCGUUAUCCGGAAUGAUUGGGCGUAAAGGGUGCGCAGGCGGUCUGUUAAGUCUGAAGGCAAAGGGAUGAGCUCAACUCAUUUAUGAUUCAGAAACUGGCAGACUUGAGGACAGGAGAGGGCGGUGGAACUCCAUGUGUAGCGGUAAAAUGCGCAGAGAUAUGGAAGAACACCAGUGGCGAAGGCGGCCGCCUGGCCUGUGACUGACGCUGAGGCACGAAAGCGUGGGGAGCAAAUAGGAUUAGAUACCCUAGUAGUCCACGCCGUAAACGAUGAGGAGCAGGUGUUGGGAGUGAAAUCUCAGUGCCGAAGCCAACGCAGUGACUCCUCCGCCUGGGGAGUAUGCACGCAAGUGUGAAACUCAAAGGAAUUGACGGGGGCCCGCACAAGCGGUGGAGUAUGUGGUUUAAUUCGAAGCAACGCGAAGAACCUUACCAGGUUUUGACAUCGGAUGCGAAGGCGCAGAGAUGCGCUGGAGGCUAUCAUCCAGACAGGUGGUGCAUGGUUGUCGUCAGCUCGUGUCGUGAGAUGUUCAGUUAAGUCUGGCAACGAGCGCAACCCCCGUGGUAUGUUACUAACGCAUUUGGGCGAGGACUCAUAUCAGACUGCCGGUGACAAACCGGAGGAAGGCGGGGAUGACGUCAAAUCAUCAUGCCCCUUAUGACCUGGGCUACACACGUACUACAAUGGCGUCUACAGAGGGAAGCGACCCUGAGAAGGGAAGCGAAACCGGAAAAGGGCGUCCCAGUUCGGAUUGAAGUCUGCAACCCGACUUCAUGAAGAUGGAAUCGCUAGUAAUCGCGGAUCAGCAUGCCGCGGUGAAUACGUUCCCGGGCCUUGUACACACCGCCCGUCAAACCAUGGAAGCCGGCAACGCCCGAAGCCGGUGGCAUAACCUUUUAGGAGUGAGCCGUCGAAGGCGGGGCCGAUGACUGGGGUUAAGUCGUAACAAGGUAACC
rnacentral:rRNA from 1 species